GCCGCCGUCGUUCAAUGGAUAGGACGAGAACCUCCUAAGUUCUAAAUGCUGGUUCGAUUCCGGCCGGGGGCACCA
rnacentral:tRNA from 1 species